rnacentral:rRNA from 1 species
UUUAAUGGCCGCAGUAUUCUGACUGUGCAAAGGUAGCAUAAUCAUUAGUUUCUUAAUUAGAAACUGGAAUGAAUGGUUGGACGAGAAAAUAACUGUCUCUGUAUGAAUUUUUUUAGAAUUUUAUUUUUAAGUUAAAAAGCUUAAAUUUAUUUAAAAGACGAGAAGACCCUAUAGAGUUUUAUAUAUUUUUUAUAAAUAAUAUUUUUAGAUUAAUUUUUAUUAUUAUAAAAUAAUAUAUUUAAUUGGGGUGAUUGAAAAAUUUAUUUAACUUUUUUUUUACAUUAACAUUAAUUUAUGAAUUAUUGAUCCAUUUAAAAUGAUUAUAAGAUUAAAUUACCUUAGGGAUAACAGCGUAAUUUCUUUGAAGAGUUCUAAUCGAUAAAGGAGUUUGCGACCUCGAUGUUGGAUUAAAAUUUAAUUUUGGUGUAGAAGCUAAAAAUUUAGGUCUGUUCGACCUUUAAAAUUUUACAUGAUCUGAGUUUAAACCGGUGUGAGCCAGGUUGGUUUCUAUCUUUAAAAAAUUUUAAUAUUUUAGUACGAAAGGACCAAAUAUUAGUAAAAUUUAUUUUAUUAUGAUUAUUAUUAAU